UUUGAGGGCUGGUACCAUUUAUUUUUAUAGAUGUACCUGUAUGGUCUAAGCUGGAAUCUGGUCAUCUUCCAUCCAUGCAACAGCUUGUUCAAAUUCUUGACAAUGAAAUGAAGCUCAAUGUCCAUAUGGAUUCAAUCCCACAUCAUCGAUCAUAGCCCCACCUAUCAGCACUGAAAACUCUUUUACAUUACGGGAUUUUUGCAAGAGCAGCGUGACUGACAUUAUGAAGGCCUGUACUGAAGACAGCAAGCUGUUAGUACAGACCAGAUGUUUCUUAGCAGGCUCGUUGUACCUCUUGGAAAACCUCAAUGCAAGACAGUUUUUAGUGCUGGCACAUUUUCGAAUUCUGCACAUUCGUGGAGUGCAAUAAUACUGUAUAGUAAUUUUUCUCCUCCCAAUCCACUGAGUUAAUAGUUUUCUAAAAAUGUAAACAUUACUACUUGUACCAUUUUUCCUUAGUCAUAUUUGAAAAAAUUGCAAAAUGAGUUAGAAUUUGAUUUUUUUUUCAAGGAUGUCUGUUAAAUCUGUUGUGAUUUUAUAUGAAUUUUCCUUUUUUAUUGUUUAGAAUUGAUCUUUUUGGGAAUAAGCUGAAGUUCUCCCUUUAUAAGAGUUUAUCAGACAUCUCUAAUUUGGUUAUGUCCUACUUAUAGGUUUCAAAAUACUGCAGAUUUUGAAGAGCAAAUUCUACAAAAUUAUGGGGGGAGAUCCUAUAUGCAAAAUUCUCUAACAGUUUGUGUGUGUGUAUAUGUGUGCACAUGUGUGUGAAUACCAGAGAAACGACUAAAAGACCAACCGCUUUUAAAAUUCUGUUAUAGUUCAAGUGUCUUGCCUUGACCAAUCUAAUGAAUUGAUUAACUGGGCCUUUAUACUUAACUCAAUAAAAAAUAAGCAGACAUAAGUUAAAUAAAAACUUUGAAUUUAUUGCCCAGCGUACCUGUUAACAUUAUAUUUAACCGUCGUCUGUUUAAAUUUUUGUUUUUGACUUACAGAUAAUUUCAUUAGGGAUACACUUUAGAUUCACAACAAAUAAUAAAUCAUUUACCAUUUUUAGGGUAAUUGAAACUCAUCUCACUAAAGAAAGUUUAGUUGAACUUCUUUACAACAUUAAUAUUAGACGGAUGGAGAUCACUUGUCUAAUUUAACUUGCCUAACAUCAGAAUUUUAUUAUAUUUGAGGGACAAAAUUGAAAAUUUUUUUAUUCAGUGAGUUUAAUAUCUUUUCAGAGUUCUAAAAAGAUUGUAAGAGUAAUUUAGCAGAAGUAGGACCAUGAUGUAGAGAAAAGGUCAUAUAGCUACAGUCAUAACAUACUUCAGCCUCCAUAUAGGAAUAAAAGUGUUAGUGGAAGUAAAGGGAUUUAUGGAAAAGUUUGGAGAUAAUUCAAUAUUGGGUCCACCAAACAAACACUUAGCACAACUGUAUACUUUGUCAUUGAAUAUUUGUUGAAUGCAUGUCUGGUAAUGAUCAUGAUGUGACAGCCUCGAGGUGGAACAUGGUGAUAGGAAGUUAGCCUGCAGAAAAUUGAUUAAAAUGGCUUAUUAUCCUUUUCAUUAGACUGCAGACUGUUAACCUAAUUUCAUACAAUUUAAACUGGGGAGUUACAGAUUUUUAUUAUUCGGGUGUAAUAACAUUUUGUUAUUUUCAACUAGGGCUAAAACCUUAACUUGAUUUGUACCAGCUCAAACUUCCUAUCUUCUGCAAGUUGAACACAUUGUUGAGUGUGUCCAGGGUCUUUCUUCAGCUGAUGGACAUUCCACUAGUGACAGUUAAUCUUUUGGUAUUUAGACUUUUCAACCUGGAGCCUUGGAAAUGUUCCCAUGUUCUGUAUCUGGCAGGUCAAUCAUGAAGAAACAAGAUUUGAUUCUAACUUUUUCCAUGUUUGCCCUGGGUAGAUAAAUUGUCUUUUAGAGAAUAGCUUUAGGUAGUUUACACUAUGAUAAAACUCAGCUAUUUUGUUGAUAUUCAUCUCAAUAUUGUUGUUUUAUCUUUGGCCAUAUUUAAAUCUAGGAUUUAAUGGGGUUUAGUGAAAAUGGAAAGAAUGAAUAUAAAAAGACAAAUUUAAGAGAAAAGGGAAAGUUUAAAUGAAGAUAUUUAUAAUAUAGUUUUAUUCCUAACAUUUCAGAAUUUAUUGCUUGCAAAUAAGUGUGGCUCUGUAGUUUAUAAAUGUCUAUGUACUAUAUUAAUAAGAAGACCAUAGAACCUGACAGCACGUUUGCUAAUGUCAUUGGGGGUUUUUACCACAGUUACUAUUGUGGCAGAAAUUAUUUGUUAGAUUAAUAAAAAAGUUGGCAAAACAUGGCUUUAUACCUCAGUAUCAAGAUGUGCAAGACAAAUAUGUUUUCAGAAUAUACAUGUGGUAUUUAUUUAUGGCACUAACAUCAACAACAGCAGUUGAUCAGCCUUUACCACUAUCAAAAUAAAACAGGAUCCUAAUGGUAAUUCUUACUUUGAAUGUUUUUAGUUGGGACUUUGUUGGCAUUUUAUCAUUGUCAUAAUUUUAAAUUUAGAUUUAAAAAUAGCCUACAGAAUUUUAAAGCAUGAUUUGAUAUUUAAUUUUAAAGCUUUUAAAAAAAUCUUGUGAGAGAAAUGUGAGGGAUUGUAAAGUUUGGGGCUUACCUCUCAAACAUUGUGAAAAUAAACUUUUAUUAAGCUCAUGUGAAAGGAA